CGUGGCUGCAUCGUCAAAGCGGUCAAUGUUCUCAAAUUUCUCCUCUUUUUUUCCGAUUCAAAAUACAUUUUUCGAAUGAAAUAUCGUUCCAAGUUUUUCGAGCUAGUUGCAGGGGCCUGCAUUUGUGAAUUGGGACGCGUUUCCAGAGGUUGCAACGCGCGGAUAAGGAGGUUCGAGCCCAUUCCGUAUCGAAGAGUGAGAAGCGACAACGGUAAUUCUUGCUCGGAGAUAAAUCUUAUCAAUUAAUCAUGAAGGAAAUCGGGUCACUAAUACCGUCGAGGGGAGUGUUGCUGCUCGCGAUACUGCACCUCCGGGACUCUCUCGCGAUAGACGUUGCAAGCUCUGGUCCUCGAAGAGGCACGUUUUCGCAUUUUCUACGCGAUUAAGGGGCGAUAUCGGUGUGUGAAAUAAACGAAAUUGGGCGCAAAAGGCUUCUGCAUGGUCCAGGGAUAGCUGACCAAUCGAUGCUUGCCGUCGCACUUAUGCUGUCAACCGUCGGAGAGUCUUUUUUUCAAACGCCAUUUUGCGACCGCUCCUCUGCUUAAAUGUACUAAAAAUCAAAAAAUUUUCUUGUACACUUCACUUGAUUGAAUUCACAAAAUUUCAAAUAA